CGCCGCUUCGCCCCGCCCCGCCGCGGCGCUGAAGCGGGGGCACCUUCCCCUCCUCUGCUGCCCUCUGUUAACGCGCUGUGUCGCCGAGCGCCCCGGAUCGGCGGCUGGACGGAGUCAGCCGGCGACUCGGAAUCCCCCUUCCUCACCCGUGGCCCGUGUUGGUUAACAAUGCGGAGCACAUUGAUUGGGAGAGGAGUUCCGGAUAUUUGUCGCCAGCGCUGCAGGAUGUGUUGGAGAUAGAUGCAGCAUAUUUUCACGGUAUUUUCUUCAGGAGCCCUUCUCACUGGCCAAUGUUAACUUUGGCAAAGAAACGGCAGAAACCCUUGGACAGAAGUGGAUUCCAGUUUCUCAUUGUAUUGCUCCACUGUGAGGGUCCAUGUCUCGCAUGCGUACAGGAAGAUGGAGAAUAGCAAAGAACACUGGAGUCUGAUCUUGUACUUCAUGGUGAUGUUGCUAUCCCUCCAUAUUGUUGAGUUUGGAUAGUGCAGUCAUUGUCUGUGUGGCUCUUGCCAGGACUUCUGGUCUUGAUCCUUCAUCACUGAUGAUUACCCCCAAGUAUUUGAACUGCUGCACUGUCUCAAGUUUCUGACCAGUUUCAAGUUGCUGUGUUUGCCCACAGGAAAAAGAUUCUCAGUGAUGCAUAUGGUGACAUGUAUGUACUCAGAUAAUAAAUUGCACUUUGAACUUGAAAUAGUUUCUAACUUCGUUCUUAAUAAACCUAACCCCAAAUGUAGCACUGCAAACUUCAAUUAAUAGAGAUAGAUCCUCUAAAUAUUUAACAAUUUCUCUUCCUGUUUUGUACAUUUAAAAUGUCCAUGAUUAAACUUCUAAAUUCCAGAGAAUAGCGUAAUCUUCUUUUGUAAUUCAGCAGUUAGUAUGUAGCUGUUAUUCAAGUAAAGCUUUGGUGCACUUUCUCAAAGAUCAAUAUAUUCUUUCCAGAGUGUGGAUCUGAAUCUACUCAGAGAAUUAUCCAAGUAUAAUCUAACCAGGACUUUGAAAAACUGUGAUAUUAAUUCGAUGCACUUCAUUCUUUUGUGUAUGAAGGCCAGAGUUCAUAAGGCCUUUUUUGUUUAUUUUGUAAAGUGUAAUGAUCUUAUAGUAACUCCCACACCUAGCAACGUGUUAUAAAAAUAAUCAAUGCAUUUUAAUUGUGUUAGUUGGUGGUAAAAAUGUGGGUAAGGUCUUGCCUGUAUCUCAUUUGUUCUUUUUCAAAUAAUAAAUGAUAUUUUAAAAUUACUGGCAAAGAGAGAAGCAGGGGCUAUUUCUAGAAGAUUAUACAACACAGCACUAUCAUUUCUGUUA